AAAGUUAUAAGUUAAAAAAACUAUAUGUCUUCAAAACAUAAAAAUAAAAACUUUG
rnacentral:tRNA from 1 species